rnacentral:rRNA from 1 species
CCUACGGGAGGCAGCAGUGGGGAAUCUUUGGCAAUGGGCGCAAGCCUGACCCAGCGACGCCGCGUGAAGGAAGAAGGCUUUCGGGUUGUAAACUUCUUUUGAUAGGGAAGAGCAGAAGACGGUACCUGUCGAAUAAGCCACGGCUAACUACGUGCCAGCAGCCGCGGUAAUAAGUAGGUGGCAAGCGUUGUCCGGAUUUACUGGGUGGAAAGGGCGUGUAGCCGGGCUGACAAGGCAGAUGUGAAAUCCGGGGGCUCAACCCCCGAACUGCAUUUGAAACUGUUGGUCUUGAGUAUCGGAGAGGCAGGCGGAAUUCCUAGUGUAGCGGUGAAAUGCGUAGAUAUUAGGAGGAACACCAGUGGCGAAGGCGGCCUGCUGGACGACAACUGACGGUGAGGCGCGAAGGCGUGGGGAGCGAACAGGAUUAGAUACCCCAGUAGUC